CAAAGACUAGUUGGAUGGAUAAAACGACCAGCGACUUUGCAAAAAAGUUUUAGACAAAGCUCUGAGGUCGUUUCAAUGGCUUAAAGUUAUAUAAGGCUUUAGAAGAGUCUAGACAAUAUAUUUCUACCCACGGCUUAUGAAGGUCUAGACAACUAUAACCAACGGCUUACAAAGAAACCUUAGACAAUAUUGCUCCCCAUGACCAGCGGCUUAAAGAAGUCUUGAGACAGAGACUAUAUACCCGAAAACUAAUUCUUCACAACAACCACAAGGCUUAAAAAUCACUAGACAAAGAACAAACAAAAAGAUCAGUUUAAAACAAAGAGCAAAAACAGACUCCUUACUAAAGUUAAGCCUUGUCAAAGCUUUUAGAAAAAAGACUACAAGUUUUUGGCUUGUUGGAUGGUAAAAACGACCAACAACUUAAACCAAUUUCAAGAUAGAGACUAAACCAAAUCGAGUUUUAGCUUGUUUGGAUGGUAAAAACGACCAACAGCUUAAACCAUGUCUUAAGACACUAUGAACCAAAAAUUGAUUCCUCACCUCACUAUGUCCGGCUUAGGAAGUCCCUAUACAAAGACUUAUGUCAUAGUUACUACUUACAGGGUAAUAACUCACAAGAUAAUUUUUUUUUGAACUUAAAGACUAAUUAGUUAUGAUUUCCUCAGGUUUUGUAUGUGCUUCAGAAGACUCAGAGAUGAUUUCAAGUGUAUCAGAUUUUUUUAACCAGGUAUGUGCUUUUCAAACUUGUUUGUUACUUAGUCGAUACAUUCAAUUAUGAAAAUCACAAGCAGGAGAGACUGAUAUGAAGUGAAGACUAAUUACAUUUGUUUAGGUACGUUCUUCACAAACUGUUCAUAUCUUCAUUGACGCCAAGGAUUUACCCAGUUUCGUCUGACUCCAACAAGAGGUUCGUGUAUGAUGUUGGAGCUUAUAAUAGUGAUGAUGAUAAAGCUGACCAAAACGGAAUGAGAGAUUUCUUGAACGAGAUGGCGGC